rnacentral:tRNA from 1 species
AGGAUAAUAGUUUUUAAUAUUAAAUUUGCAAUUUAAAGAUAUUGUACUUUACAAUUUAUCUUA